rnacentral:misc_RNA from 1 species
AAUAUAAAUCUCUUCAAUAAUAAACUUAAAAGUAAAUAAAGCUUAGACAACAGAAUUUAUAAUCUUGAGGAGGUGAUCCUCCUCUCUUCUGGGUGGUGGAGCUCACUAGAAGAGAACAAAGAGCAUGAACAAGCAGACAAAAUAAAAUAACAAAAAAUGAGUUGGAAAUGGAAACAAUGCUUUAUAUCUUUUCUGGAAAUGUUUCUUCAAUUGUUUAAUAUUGCCUUGUGUUCAGGAAAGAAUAACAUAUAUAUAUAGCAUUACCACUAAUUUUUAAAGAGUUUUAUCUCACUGAGUGCCAAUGAAAAAGGCAUUCUUUUGCAGAUAGCCUUUGAGGUCUUGAUUACAUGUUAUGAGUAAUAAUUUAUGUGAUUAAAAAUGACAAAAUUCAUAAUUAGAAAAAUAAGGGAAAGAGAGGUUUGUUUAAAUAAUGAACCUUUUAGAAUAUAUGGUAUAGAAUUCUUUGUUCUUUUUCGGUUUAUAUAUAGCACAUAACACAACAAAAGAAAGAAAUAUGCAUAUAUAUCCGUAU